UACGUAGGUGGCAAGCGUUGUCCGGAAUCACUGGGCGUAAAGCGCGCGCAGGCGGCGAUCUACGUCUGGGGUGAAAGCCCGGAGCUCAACUCCGGGACUGCCUUGGAUACGGGAUCGCUUGAGGAUUGGAGAGGCAAGGGGAAUUCCACGUGGUAGGCGGUGAAAUGCGUAGAGAUGAUGGAGGAACACCUGUGGCGAAGGCGGCCUUGCUGGCCAAUUACUGACGCUGGAGGCGACGAAAGCUAGGGUAGCAAACGGG
rnacentral:rRNA from 1 species